GCCGACGUAGCUCAAUUGGCAGAGCAGUCGCUUUGUAAGCGACAGGUUAUGGGUUCAAUUCCCAUCGUCGGCU
rfam:Anaerolinea sp. 4484_236 ex4484_236_scaffold_8448, whole genome shotgun sequence.